CUCCCCUCAUCUUUUCUUUGUAAGUUACGUCUCAGUCAGACCUCUAAUCUUCGGCACUUCUGUGAUCUGUUUGUGCCGUAAAACUUUUACUAAAACUAUAACAAAUCGUUGUUUCUUCCUAGACAUAGUGUUUGAACAAAAUAAUAUAUACCUAGCGUAGUACACAGAUUAAAAGUUGGCCGAAUCCCGAAGGAAAAUUUCUUGCUUUUUUUCAUUGCCCAAAAUACAUGUCGUUGUAGAAUCUGUGGUACAAUGGUGGCGUGGGUGGUCUGGUGGUUAGGUUACCGCAAUCCUUGGAUUGUGGGUGUCUGGUGGUUAGGUUACCGGACUCGCAAUCCUUGGAUUGUGGGUGUCUAGUAGUUAGGUUACCGGACUCGCAAUCCUUGGAUUGUGGGUGUCUAGUGGUUAGGUUACCGGACUCGCAAUCCUUGGAUUGUGAGUGUCUAGUGGUUAGGUUACCGGGCUCGCAAUCCUUGGAUUGUGGGUGGCGUGGGUGGUCUGGUGGUUAGGUUACCGGACUCGCAAUCCUUGGAUUGUGGGUGUCUAGUGGUUAGGUUACCGGACUCGCAAUCCUUGGAUUGUGGGUGUCUAGUGGUUAGGUUACCGGACUCGCAAUCGUUAGACUGUGACGUAGGUAGUCUAGUGGUAAGGUUACCGGACUCGCAAUCGUUAGACUACUGGUUCGGGGGUUCGAGCCUCAGCUCGGCCCGUCGCCAGGGUCCUUGGGAAAGGAAAAACACUUGACACUUCCCCCAUUGACUGGCUCGUUCCUUUCGUUGAGAGAGACGGUAAACUCGGAGGUCCCGCCUUUUAAAUAACCUAAUACUAAUACAAUAGUGCUGACAGGGGCGUUAAACCUCUACCUUUAAUUUUGCCACUUUUUUGUGAUAUCAUUCCCGGUCUUUGUCCAGGAUUAGAGAAGUGACGUGGGACAAGACUCUUUAGGGCUGGGCAAUGGGUCGCUUUAGCAAAAUCCGGAUAUUAAUUAUGUUAGUGCACCUCUUCGGCAAACGGGUCAGGAAAGAAGGUUAAGAGUCUUAAUCCGGAUAAUGUUUCAUUGAGAAUUAUCCGGUUGUCCAUGUAGAUUAUCCGGAUUUCGCCCACCUCUGCUUUCAGUGAAGUUGCACCUGUUGACCUGGCACUGUAAGGGGAAUCAACUCACUGUUAUCCCUCUCUCCUACCUUAGGCCAUAUUACUGCCCUUGAAGCAAAUGAAGCGUUUCCUUUUGUUGGCAAAUUUCUGCUUUAACUAAAAUGCCAAAUACAUUUUUACGACUUGGUUGAAUACUACUAUUAUUAUAACGAUAUUUCGUCUUGAUCUCAUGACCAUGUUUUAAAUAUCAUGUUUUUGUUCUGUCCCUCUGUCAAUAAAUGUUCCGAAAUGAGC